CAUCGCCGCGGGAAUACCGAGGGUGCGAGCGUUAAUCGGAUUUACUGGGCGUAAAGCGUGCGUAGGCGGCUUUUUAAGUCGGAUGUGAAAUCCCUGAGCUUAACUUAGGAAUUGCAUUCGAUACUGGGAAGCUAGAGUAUGGGAGAGGAUGGUAGAAUUCCAGGUGUAGCGGUGAAAUGCGUAGAGAUCUGGAGGAAUACCGAUGGCGAAGGCAGCCAUCUGGCCUAAUACUGACGCUGAGGUACGAAAGCAUGGGGAGCAAACAGGAUUAGAUACCCCAGUAGUCCCUGUCUCUUAUACA
rnacentral:rRNA from 1 species